AGGGCUAUCGCCAAGCGGUAAGGCACAGCACUUUGACUGCUGCAUUACGGUGGUUCGAAUCCACCUAGCCCUG
rnacentral:tRNA from 1 species